CCUACGGGAGGCAGCAGUGAGGAAUAUUGGUCAAUGGACGAGAGUCUGAACCAGCCAAGUAGCGUGAAGGAUGACUGCCCUAUGGGUUGUAAACUUCUUUUAUAUGGGAAUAAAAUGUUCCACGUGUGGGAUUUUGUAGGUACCAUAUGAAAAAGGAUCGGCUAACUCCGUGCCAGCAGCCGCGGGAAUACGGAGGAUCCGGGGGUCAUCCGGAUUUAUUGGGUUUAAAGGGGGCGUAGGUGGGUUGGUAAGUCAGUUGUGAAAGUUUGCGGCUCAACCGUAAAAUUGCAGUUGAAACUGGCAGUCUUGAGUACAGUAGAGGUGGGCGGAAUUCGUGGUGUAGCGGUGAAAUGCUUAGAUAUCACGAAGAACUCCGAUUGCGAAGGCAGUUCACUGGACUGCAACUGACACUGAGGCUCGAAAGUGUGGGUAUCAAACAGGAUUAGAUACCCCUGUAGUC
rnacentral:rRNA from 1 species